AAAAUACUCCCUCCGUCCCAAAAUACUUGUCGAAGAAAUUGAUAAAAAUAGAUGUAUCUAGAAUUAAAAUAUGUCUAGAUACAUCCAUUUCUCCGACGAGGAUUUCCGGACAGAGGUAGUAUUAC
rfam:Triticum aestivum genome assembly, contig: Triticum_aestivum_CS42_TGACv1_scaffold_577729_7BL